UUAUAAACAAAUCAACAAUGCAACAGACAACAAACCACAGAAAGUUAAUCCUCAAAAUGGCAAAUGAGAAAAAAACUUUUAAACCUCAUGAUAAGUUAUAAUACAUUAAACAAGACAUCAACAGUGACACUAAUCAGUACUAACAGCCUAAAUAACUAGACUACCAGAGUAUAGAUUACACCACAAGUCACAUAGAAAUAGGAUGAUAUAGGUAGCAAGAACAAAAUUGGCAUGCCCUUUAAACACAUGGCAGCUUGAGGAAAGAGUGACACAUUCUUCAGGAGGACUCAAAGUAGUAACACAGUAGAUACACAGAGAAUUUAGAAUGCUACAGAAGCACAAAAAGUGCAGGCAGACAAAAAGAAAAGGGGAAAUAGGACUUCAAAGAAAAGGGGAAUGAAUAAAAAGUGACAAGAAAGAUGCAUAAA
rnacentral:misc_RNA from 1 species